rnacentral:rRNA from 1 species
GAUGAACGCUGGCGGCGUGCCUAAUACAUGCAAGUCGAGCGAACAGAUGAGGAGCUUGCUCCUCUGACGUUAGCGGCGGACGGGUGAGUAACACGUGGAUAACCUACCUAUAAGACUGGGAUAACUUCGGGAACCGGGGGUAAUACCCGGAAAUAUAUUUAACCCGAAUGGUUAAUUAGUGAAAGACGGUUUUGUUGUCCCUAAUGAUUGAAUCCGCGCCGAAUUAGCUAGUUGGUAAGGUAACGGCUUACCAAGGCAACGAUGCGUAGCCGACCUGAGAGGGUGAUCGGCCACACUGGAACUGAGACACGGUCCAGACUCCUACGGGAGGCAGCAGUAGGGAAUCUUCCGCAAUGGGCGAAAGCCUGACGGAGCAACGCCGCGUGAGUGAUGAAGGUCUUCGGAUCGUAAAACUCUGUUAUUAGGGAAGAACAAAUGUGUAAGUAACUAUGCACGUCUUGACGGUACCUAAUCAGAAAGCCACGGCUAACUACGUG